GACGAACGCUGGCGGCGUGCUUAACACAUGCAAGUCGAGCGGUAAGGCCCUUCGGGGUACACGAGCGGCGAACGGGUGAGUAACACGAGGGUGAUCUGCCCUGUACUUCGGGAUAAGCCCGGGAAACUGGGUCUAAUACCGGAUAUGACCCCAGGCUGCAUGUCUUGUGGUGGCAAGAUUUGUCGGUACGGGAUGUGCCCGCGGCCUAUCAGCUUGUUGGUGGGGUAACGGCCUACCAAGGCGACGACGGGUAGCCGACCUGAGAGGGUAGCCGGCCACACUGGGACUGAGACACGGCCCAGACUCCUACGGGAGGCAGCAGUGGGGAAUAUUGCACAAUGGGCGGAAGCCUGAUGCAGCGACGCCGCGUGAGGGAUGACGGCCUUCGGGUUGUAAACCUCUUUCAGCACCGACGAAGCGCAAGUGACGGUAGGUGCAGAAGAAGGACCGGCCAACUACGUGCCAGCCGCCGCGGUAAUAC
rnacentral:rRNA from 1 species